rnacentral:rRNA from 1 species
UCUGCAACUCGACUCCAUGAAGCUGGAUUCGCUAGUAAUCGCGCAUCAGCCAUGGCGCGGUGAAUACGUUCCCGGGCCUUGUACACACCGCCCGUCAAGCCAUGGAAGCCGGGAGUGCCUGAAGUGUGCAACCGCAAGGAGCGCCCUAAGGUAAAACUGGUGACUGGGGCUAAGUCGUAACAAGGUACC